AGAGUUUGAUCCUGGCUCAGGAUGAACGCUGGCGGCGUGCCUAAUACAUGCAAGUCGAGCGAACAGACAAGGAGCUUGCUCCUCUGACGUCAUCGGGGGACGGGGGAGAAACACGUGGAUACCCUAUCUAUUUCACAGGGAUAACUUCGGGAAACCGGAGCGAAUACCGCAUAUUAUAUUGAACCGCAUGGUUCAAUAUGGAAGAACGGUUUUGCUGUCUCUUAUACAUGGAUCCGCGCACGAUAUAGUAUUUGGUUAGGUAACGGCUUACCUAGGCGACCAUGCGUACCCGACCUGAGAGGGUGAUCGGCCACACUGGAACUGAGACUGGGACCGAACUCCUACGGGAAGCACCAGUGGGGAAUCUUCCGCAAUUGGGCGAAAGUUUGACCGGAGCAACGCCCGCGUGAGUGAUGACGGUCUUCGGAUCGUAAAACUCUGUUAUUAGGGACGAACAUAUGUGUAAGUAAUUAUGCGCGUCUUGACGGUACCUAAUCAGAAAGCCCCGGCUAACUACGUGCCAGCAGCCGCGGUUAAUACGUAGGUGGCCAGCGUUAUUCCGGAAUUAUUGGGCGUAAAGCGCGCGUCAGGCGGUAUCAUAUGUUUGAUGUGAAAACCCCCGGCUCAACCCUCGAGGGUCAUUGGAAACUGGAAAUACUAGAGUGCAGAAGAGGAAAGUGGAAUUCCUUGUGUAGCGGUGAAAUGCGCAGAUAUAUGGAGGAACACCAGUGGCGAAGGCGACUUUCUGGUCGGUAACUGACGCUGAUGUGCGAAAGCCAGGGGAUCAAACAGGAUUAGAUACCCUGGUAGUCCACGCCGUAAACGA
rnacentral:rRNA from 1 species